AAACUGAUGAGUCAGUGUGAGUCUUCCUCUGUUUUGUUUACAUCUUACAAGUUAUUAUUCAAGACUUGUGAAUCUUGUGCAGGAUCUUACUGCUCUCUUACUUCAGCUUAAUAGUCAAGGUACAAUGCAGAAGAAACGAUCUGCAGUGUGGAGACACUUCGAUGAGGAAGGGGAUAAUAAGGUAGCCUGUAAGACUUGUCACAAACGACUCACGAAGCAUGGUAACACUUCCAUGAUGAUCAGACAUCUCCGAGGGCAGCAUCCAGAGAUCAUGCAUGCCUGCUGGAUGCUGAUGGACCCACUGUGACAGGAAGGUGUCUCGUGGCAGUUAGAAGAACAGCAGGUGGAAGAGGUUGUGGAAUCACUUCCUCCACUAGAAAACUCAGUGAAGAAGAAAAGAUCAACUGUUUGGAGACACUUUGAAGAAGAGGGCAAUGGAUAAAGUUAGCUGUCGUAUAUGUAACGAGAAGUUGGCCAAGCACGGUAACACCUCGUCAAAGUUGCGUCAUAUCCGAGGCAAACAUCCUC